rnacentral:rRNA from 1 species
UACGAAGGGGGCUAGCGUUGCUCGGAAUUACUGGGCGUAAAGCGCACGUAGGCGGCUUUCUAAGUCGGGGGUGAAAUCCUGGAGCUCAACUCCAGAACUGCCUUCGAUACUGGAAAGCUCGAGUCCGGGAGAGGUGAGUGGAACUGCGAGUGUAGAGGUGAAAUUCGUAGAUAUUCGCAAGAACACCAGUGGCGAAGGCGGCUCACUGGCCCGGUACUGACGCUGAGGCACGAAAGCGUGGGGAGCAAACAGGG